rnacentral:rRNA from 1 species
CCAAUAGCGUAUAUUAAAGUUGUUGCAGUUAAAAAGCUCGUAGUUGAAUUUCGGGAUUGACACAUCGGUCGUGCCUUAAGGGGUAUGAACUGGUGUAGUCAAUUUCUCACCUUCUGGAGAACCGCGAUGCCCUUAAUUGGGUGUCGCGGGGAACCAGGACCUUUACUUUGAAAAAAUUAGAGUGUUUAAAGCAGGCAUUUUGCUUGAAUACAUUAGCAUGGAAUAAUAAAAUAGGACGGCAUGAUUCUAUUUUGUUGGUUUCUAGGAUCACCGUAAUGAUUAAUAGGGAUAGUUGGGGGCAUUAGUAUUCAAUUGUCAGAGGUGAAAUUCUUGGAUUUAUUGAAGACUAACUACUGCGAAAGCAUUUGCCAAGGAUGUUUUCAUUAAUCAAGAACGAAAGUUAGGGGAUCGAAGACGAUCAGAUACCGUCGUAGUCUUAACCAUAAACUAUGCCGACUAGGAAUCAGACGAUGUUAAUUUUUUAAUGACUCGUUUGGCACCUUAC